rnacentral:misc_RNA from 1 species
UGAUGACUGGGGUGAAGUCGUAACAAGGUAUCCGUACCGGAAGGUGCGGAUGGAUCACCUCCUAACAGGGAGACAACACAAUGAUUUUGAUGCCUGAGUGCUUUUAUUCUUAGGCCGAAAUCCUGUCACCUUAGGUCGAUCGGUACCUCAGCUUUGAAGUCAAGAAUCAGCAGCAAUGUUGAUUGCUUGAUGGAGAUUUUCAGUUCCUAAACUUUGUCUAGGUCACACCCCAAAAGGGAUGAGACUCCUGGGCCAUUAGCUCAGGUGGUUAGAGCGCACCCCUGAUAAGGGUGAGGUCCCUGGUUCAAGUCCAGGAUGGCCCAUUCGGUGUUGGGGGUUUAGCUCAGUUGGUAGAGCGCCUGCUUUGCAAGCAGGAUGUCAGGAGUUCGAGUCUCCUAACCUCCACUGACCGAACUUGAUUCCCAUCUCCAAUUCUUUUGGAGUUGAGCUCGAUUGGAGUGUGAUUUAGAUGUGUCCGCUGGACGACCCCAGCCUCCUGUCAUUCCAAGUUUUAGGUUAAAUCCUUGAAUUUGGUUGAUAAGAUGCUGGGCUCGGAUCAAAUUAUCAAGCAAUUGAUGAUUUGAUUUGAAGUUCUAGCAGAACCUUGACAACUGCAUAGGUGAGUCUGGAAAAAACAAAGCAUCUUACAGAUGCAUUGUUUUGAAUCUGAUCUUC